AUUGAACGCUGGCGGCAGGCCUAACACAUGCAAGUCGAACGAGUGGCGGACGGGUGAGUAAUGUCUGGGAAACUGCCUGAUGGAGGGGGAUGAAUACUGGAAACGGUAGCUAAUACCGCAUACCAUCAGAUGUGCCCAGAUGGGCUUGGCUGUUUGGUGGGGUAACGGCUCACCAAGGCGACGAUCCCUAGCUGGUCUGAGAGGAGGAACAGCCACACGGGAACGGAGACACGGUCCAGACUCCGACGGUAGGGAGAAGGGGGGAAUAUGGCACAAGGGGCGCAAGCCUGAGGCAGCCAUGCCGCGUGUAUGAAGAAGGCCUUCGGGUUGUAAAGUACGUUCAGCGGGGAGGCGUUACCCGCAGAAGAAGCACCGGCUAACUCCGUGCCAGCCGCCGCGGUAAUUC
rnacentral:rRNA from 1 species